GGCACAUUUGUGAAAGAAUCAACUCAUGCCUUCGAGUGUUCAAGUGUUCAACAACACAGUUUCAUAGCGGGAUAUCAUCACCUUUAGUAAUAAAUGGCAUUCAUGAAAACCAUUCAAUCUCAUGGCUUCCUGAUAACCAUAACCAACAAAUGAUCAUACCUCCUGACUCAAGUUUUCUUCCUCAUCACAACCAGAUUGACUCAGAAGAGGUCAUACGAGUAAUAUCUAUGUUGUGAACUUGUGAUCAAAGAUUAGUUUUAGUUACUGUAGCAAUGUACAUACGAG